rnacentral:rRNA from 1 species
UACGUAGGAUCCGAGCGUUAUCCGGAGUGACUGGGCGUAAAGAGUUGCGUAGGCGGUUAGUAAAGCGAAUAGUGAAACCUGGUGGCUCAACCAUACAGACUAUUAUUCGAACUCACUAACUCGAGAGUAGCAGAGGUAACUGGAAUUUCUUGUGUAGGAGUGAAAUCCGUAGAUAUAAGAAGGAACACCAAUGGCGUAGGCAGGUUACUGGGCUAUUUCUGACGCUAAGGCACGAAAGCGUGGGGAGCGAACCGG